UACAGAGGUCUCAAGCGUUGUUCGGAUUCAUUGGGCGUAAAGGGUGUGUAGGUGGCGCCGUAAGUCGGGUGUGAAAUUUCGGAGCUUAACUCCGAAACUGCAUUCGAUACUGCGGUGCUUGAGGACUAGAGAGGAGACUGGAAUUCAUGGUGUAGCAGUGAAAUGCGUAGAGAUCAUGAGGAAGACCAGUGGCGAAGGCGGGUCUCUGGACAGUUCCUGACACUGAGGCACGAAGGCCAGGGGAGCAAACGGG
rnacentral:rRNA from 1 species